rnacentral:rRNA from 1 species
UACGAAGGGGGCUAGCGUUGUUCGGAAUCACUGGGCGUAAAGCGCAUGCAGGCGGAUUGUUAAGUCGGGGGUGAAAUCCCGAGGCUCAACCUCGGAACUGCCUUCGAUACUGGCAAUCUUGAGUCCGGGAGAGGUGAGUGGAACUGCGAGUGUAGAGGUGAAAUUCGUAGAUAUUCGCAAGAACACCAGUGGCGAAGGCGGCUCACUGGCCCGGUACUGACGCUGAGGUGCGAAAGCGCGGGGAGCAAACAGG